GACGAACGCUGGCGGCGUGCUUAACACAUGCAAGUCGAACGGAAAGGCCCUGCUUUUGUGGGGUGCUCGAGUGGCGAACGGGUGAGUAACACGUGAGUAACCUGCCCUUGACUUUGGGAUAACUUCAGGAAACUGGGGCUAAUACCGGAUAGGAGCUCCUGCUGCAUGGUGGGGGUUGGAAAGUUUCGGCGGUUGGGGAUGGACUCGCGGCUUAUCAGCUUGUUGGUGGGGUAGUGGCUUACCAAGGCUUUGACGGGUAGCCGGCCUGAGAGGGUGACCGGCCACAUUGGGACUGAGAUACGGCCCAGACUCCUCCGGGAGGCAGCAGUGGGGAAUAUUGCACAAUGGGCGGGAGCCUGAUGCAGCAACGCCGCGUGCGGGAUAACGGCCUUCGGGUUGUAAACCGCUUUCGCCUGUGACGAAGCGUGAGUGACGGUAAUGGGUAAAGAAGCACCGGCUAACUACGUG
rnacentral:rRNA from 1 species